rnacentral:rRNA from 1 species
UACGUAGGUGGCAAGCGUUGUCCGGAAUUAUUGGGCGUAAAGCGCGCGCAGGUGGUUUCUUAAGUCUGAUGUGAAAGCCCACGGCUCAACCGUGGAGGGUCAUUGGAAACUGGGGAACUUGAGUGCAGAAGAGGAAAGUGGAAUUCCAAGUGUAGCGGUGAAAUGCGUAGAGAUUUGGAAGGAACACCAGUGGCGAAGGCGACUUUCUGGUCUGUAACUGACACUGAGGCGCGAAAGCGUGGGAGCGAACAGG